rnacentral:rRNA from 14 species
UAUACGACUCUCGGCAACGGAUAUCUCGGCUCUCGCAUCGAUGAAGAACGUAGCGAAAUGCGAUACUUGGUGUGAAUUGCAGAAUCCCGUGAACCAUCGAGUCUUUGAACGCAAGUUGCGCCCGAGGCCUUUCGGUUGAGGGCACGCCUGCCUGGGCGUCACGCC